rnacentral:rRNA from 1 species
GACAUAGGUGGCGAACGUUAUCCGGAAUUAUUGGGCGUAAAGGAUGCGUAGAUGGCGUGAUAAGUUAUCAGUGGAAAAUCGGGGCCCAACCUCGUGGAAGCUGGUAAUACUAUUGUGCUUGAGUGCAGGAGAGGUUAACGGAACUCCAUGUGGAGCGGUAAAAUGUGACGAUAUAUGGAAGAACACCGAUAAGGCGAAGGCAGUUAACUAUUCUGCUACUGACAUUGAGGCAUGAAAGCGUGGGGAGCAAAACGG